UGCAAAACACAGAAGGGGUAGGGAAGCUUUGGUGGCUGUGGGUGGGACUUCACCAGCAAAUCUCUUUAAUGUUGAGGCCCACACCAGUCAAUGUCAUGGGCGUGUGAAAUGGCAGCAGUGGAACAACUCCUAGUAACUUGGCCAGUCACACUUGGAGUAUGGGAGGCAGAGUACAGGUUUGCCAGCUGCAUUGGAACAGAGCAUGCUCAGCGUUGUGAUUGAUCACUGACAAGGAAACAUGGCCUUCAUUUGUACAUCUGAUUGCUGAGGUGUACAUCUCUGAGGAAAUUCUGUCAUGGGAGCAUAAAAUGGUUAAUCAAGGCUCAGUCAACAAGAUGAAAACUCAACAAAUCUAAUACACCAAAAAGCUGACAAAUAAGAAUCACAUCAGUCCGAUGCACAAGACAAGAAAGGUUUCUUUAACCACCAUGCCGAACAUACUGCGUUAAGAAUGACUUGGUGGGUUCGCCACACCCUCCCUUCAUUUCUGCAGUUCUGUCUGAACAAGAAUCAUGGCCUGCUCUGAAACCAUGAGGGGAAAUGCAACUCCUGUAAGAAGAACCACACAAUAUUGCUUUUGAAAGCUUGCCAAUAAAUGUACAGCCAUCUUUUUUUCUG